UGGGGAAUCUUGCACAAUGGGCGCAAGCCUGAUGCAGCCAUGCCGCGUGUAUGAAGAAGGCCUUCGGGUUGUAAAGUACUUUCAGCGAGGAGGAAGGCGUUGUGGUUAAUAACCGCAACGAUUGACGUUACUCGCAGAAGAAGCACCGGCUAACUCCGUGCCAGCAGCCGCGGUAAUACGGAGGGUGCAAGCGUUAAUCGGAAUUACUGGGCGUAAAGCGCACGCAGGCGGUCUGUCAAGUCGGAUGUGAAAUCCCCGGGCUCAACCUGGGAACUGCAUCCGAAACUGGCAGGCUAGAGUCUUGUAGAGGGGGGUAGAAUUCCAGGUGUAGCGGUGAAAUGCGUAGAGAUCUGGAGGAAUACCGGUGGCGAAGGCGGCCCCCUGGACAAAGACUGACGCUCAGGUGCGAAAGCGUGGGGAGCAAACA
rnacentral:rRNA from 1 species